AUCUACGGCCAUACAUCCUGAACGUGCCCGAUCUCGUCUGAUCUCAGAAGCUAAGCAGGGUUGGGCCUGAUUAGUACUUGGAUGGGAGAAAAUAGAUUUUCUUAUUUU
rnacentral:rRNA from 1 species